AACACAAUAACUUACUUUAAGCAUUGGGCAUUUGUAGACUCUGUCGCCUUGCCUAUAACCAGUUUUGCACACUUCAAGUUUUACAGGCUUACCACAAAAACAUUUUUCUGGAACCCCCCAAUUUGCAUCGGCAUUCGCCUCUCCACUAUUCCAACUAGCUUCGGAUGUGGAUGGUUGAGAGUAACUAUAGGGCAUCUACAGAACAAAGAAAGAAAGAGAUAUGAAUCAUGAACGCUAUAAACCCUAGAUCUAUUUGAAAUCACGGCGGCUAUAAACCCUAGAUUUAUUUGAAAUCACGGCGGCUAGAAACCCUAGAUCUACUAAUUACGGCGGCUAGAAACCCUUAAGAAACUCAAUAUCAUACCUUGGUUGUUGUUGUUGUCGUCGUCGGCGGCGGAUAAUGGGAACCCUAAUUUCAGUUGUCGUCGGCGAUGUUGGGAAAGGAAGAGAGAAGAACGAGAGAGAGAAAGAACGAGAGAGAGAGAGAAGAGUGAAAUAGAAGAGAGAGAGAGAGAAAGAGAGAUGAACGAGAAUAAAUAGGGAGAAACUUUGUAGUGUGAACGCAAAAAUCGUAGUGUGAACGUAAGUCGUGGGGUCUAUUUUUAAAAAAUAUUAUUUAUUAGAAUAUUCAGAAUACACAUAGUUGUAUGUAUAUGUACAGUUGGCCAGAAUCACAAACAGUUGAACUAUUCUAAAAAUUGUGUCUUUGAAGUUGAAUCUGAAAAUACAACUCAUUUUUUUAGUUGGUCCCAUAAGUUUAAACAUAUUAAUGGAUUUUAAUAAGUUUUGAUAGAAUCAUAUUUAGUAAAUAUCUGUUUUCAUACAUAACGUAUGUACAUUGGACAAUCAUGAACUAUAUAUUCCUUGUUAUACAUAGGUGAUUUAUUAGGAAACCAGUUUAUGAUCAAGUUUAGUAAUAACAAUGUUGUAAUAUCAUAUUUUGGAUUUAUUCAAUGUUUAGUUGUUGAUAAUAGCUGAAAAUAUUGAGAAUUAUUUUAUCAUUUUGUUAACCCUAAAAUAAAGAUACAUAUAUCAGUUGUCUCAGUUGAACUUAAAAG
rnacentral:sRNA from 1 species